AAGUCGAGGGGCAGCAUGAACUUAGCUUGCUAAGUUUGAUGGCGACCGGCGCACGGGUGAGUAACACGUAUCCAACCUGCCGAUGACUCGGGGAUAGCCUUUCGAAAGAAAGAUUAAUACCCGAUGGCAUAGUUCUUCCGCAUGGUAGAACUAUUAAAGAAUUUCGGUCAUCGAUGGGGAUGCGUUCCAUUAGGUUGUUGGCGGGGUAACGGCCCACCAAGCCUUCGAUGGAUAGGGGUUCUGAGAGGAAGGUCCCCCACAUUGGAACUGAGACACGGUCCAAACUCCUACGGGAGGCAGCAGUGAGGAAUAUUGGUCAAUGGACGAGAGUCUGAACCAGCCAAGUAGCGUGAAGGAUGACUGCCCUAUGGGUUGUAAACUUCUUUUAUACGGGAAUAAGGUGAGGCACGUGUGCCUUUUUGUAUGUACCGUAUGAAUAAGGAUCGGCUAACUCCGUGCCAGCAGCCGCGGUAAUACGGAGGAUCCGAGCGUUAUCCGGAUUUAUUGGGUUUAAAGGGAGCGUAGGCGGACGCUUAAGUCAGUUGUGAAAGUUUGCGGCUCAACCGUAAAAUUGCAGUUGAUACUGGGUGUCUUGAGUACAGUAGAGGCAGGCGGAAUUCGUGGUGUAGCGGUGAAAUGCUUAGAUAUCACGAAGAACUCCGAUUGCGAAGGCAGCCUGCUGGACUGUAACUGACGCUGAU
rnacentral:rRNA from 1 species